rnacentral:rRNA from 1 species
CAGUAGCCGCGGGAAUACGAAGGGGGCUAGCGUUGCUCGGAAUCACUGGGCGUAAAGGGUGCGUAGGCGGGUCUUUAAGUCAGGGGUGAAAUCCUGGAGCUCAACUCCAGAACUGCCUUUGAUACUGAAGAUCUUGAGUUCGGGAGAGGUGAGUGGAACUGCGAGUGUAGAGGUGAAAUUCGUAGAUAUUCGCAAGAACACCAGUGGCGAAGGCGGCUCACUGGCCCGAUACUGACGCUGAGGCACGAAAGCGUGGGGAGCAAACAGGAUUAGAUACCCGUGUAGCCCUGUCUCUUAUACA